CGUCUGCUUCCAGCCGCCGGGAGCAGGAAGUGUAGCACCUCCUCCAAGAAUUCCCUCAGCUGGCACGCAUCCCUUCUGCUCCCGUCCCUUGGGCCAGGUCCCAGGGGCAUCUGGGCCUGCAGCUGUGGAGGACGCCAGGGCCCAUGCUGGGGAGCAGCCCGGGAAAGCCGGGGCCAGUUCUCCUCACCCCCACCCCCACCCCCGCCACCCACUCUGGGCCUCGGCCCUGCUCCCCAAGGCCAUGGAGGGCUGGUGUGUCAGGAGCGCCCGGGGUGUGGAGGAUGGGGGCGGGCAGUGUGUGGGCCUCCACUCGUGGGGCGGGGACCCCGCACUGCAGCAGGCCCAGAGGGCUGGAAUUGCUGUCCCCACCCACCCACCCACCCACCCCUGGGGCCCAGGCCUUCCACAAAAGGACUGACUGUGUUUGCACAGAGGGUGAGGUUCAAGGGUGCUUGUGGAAAGUGGAGCUCGCAGAGAACAGCACGUGGGAGGAGCGGUGGACCGACUGGGGACACAGGCUGAACUGUAGGCUGGUCAGGGACAAUCUCAGACACCUAUCUCAGGAGCUGUUCUUUCAAAGGAGCCAAAUUUGGUUGGAUUAGUCAGUGAAGCCCUUUACGCCCAGGGCGUCAGUAAUGAAGACAGCAGAGCACUCGGCCGGCAGGGAGAGGAGCUCAGGGGCCGGGAAGACAGCCAGAGCCGCUGUCCUCCCAGGGUGACUGUGGGUGAGCCCAGGGCUGCGCCCCUGGCCAGCAGUGGGAGGCUGGAGCAGAAGCUGUUGGGGGAGGCCGCCCCGCCGCCCCCGAGAUGGGACUGGUAACACGAUCCAGCCUGGGUGACCCGUGCCCGGAACUGCUACAGCACAUUACCUAAAGCGACUAGUCUCCUACCUGGACGUGCAAGGAAACAGCCCGUGUGGCCCAGACCCCAGGAAACAAAGUAGGCCCUGGAACUGGCAGUGUGUGAAUUAGACUGAGCAGGAGGAGACUUGAAAGUGGCCGCCGUAGAUACAGUCAGAGGAAAGAAAACCAGCAUCAAACAGGGAAGGGAAAGUAGUGAAGGAAGGUGCCAUCACAGCGACGCAACUAAUGGAACCAAUGAAAAGAUCAGAAUUAACUAAAAAGUAAAAGAACCAAGUGGAAAUUCUGGAGUUGUAAAAUACAGCAAGCACGAUGGAAGGUUCACUAGAGGGGCUCAACAGUAGCCAUGAGCUGACAGAAGAAGAUCCACGAUCUUGACCUAGAGACCUACAGAUCACACAACGCAAAGACAGUGACGGGAAAGGAGCAAACAGUCUCGGAGAAACGGGGACACCCAGGUGCACCGUCGGAGCCGCAGGACGGGGAGGGCAGGAGACAGAAGGGAAAGAAUACGCAAAGAAACAGUGGCUGAAAAUCCCCAGAUUUAUCAGGAAACGUCCACCGACAAGUCCAGCCGGCUCGGCGAGCUCCAGUGGGACCAACGCUACGAUCCAGAGUCCGGGAAAGCCCUCCCUGGUCACGAGAGCGCCCCACGAGGCUGGCAGCUGACCCCAGGCGCGGGGACGGCAUCGUCCAAGUGCUCGAAGAGAACCCACAGCCAAGACUCCUGCGUCCACCAAAACUGUCUUUCCGAAUAAAGAGAGAGAACGACGUUUGCAGAUACACAAAACCCGAGAGAGUUUGGUACCAGUGGACCCACCUUCUGAGAAACACUGAAGUUCCUCAGGCUCAAAGCAAGUGACCCCGACAGUAGUUCAGAUCCACUCAGAACAAAAAGAAGCUUGGGGAAGACAGUUCUGUCCUGAUGGGAGACCUAGGAGACCGUGUCCAGUUAACCCUCGGACAUCUCUGCGUUUGGGGCGCCCGCCCCCCCCCCCCCCCCCGCUACCCUUUCCUCUGGCAGCUUCUUUAAAAGCAUGCCAUCACACAAGGUGGGUGUCUUGGCCCCGUGUUGUUGAGUUCAUCGCGUUUACAGUGUGCUGUGUCUCAUGGUCACACCGGGAAGGGGUGUGGGGCUGCCGUCUCCAGCAGGAAGUGAGCGAGGGCACAUCUGAAGUCCGUUCUGGCCGGCCUGAGAGCGGCUGCCCAGGAGGUAACUCAAAAGUAGUGACAGAUGCAUCACAGGAAUUAAAGUGCUACGUUAGAAGAAAACAUAAAAGCAGCAGAUGAGGGCUGGAGGGACCGGAAGGCCCGGGACCCUCAGCAGCGGGACCUUCCAGCCUCCCUGGCCCUGGCUGAGGUGACAGCGUGGUCCCCGUUGUGCAGAGCAGGGGUCGAGGCCCUGAGCUGGUCCGCGCCACGGCAGAGGUCUUGCUGCGGCCCCUGGAACCCGUCAUCCCGCAGAGGGGGGCCCCGGAGUGCACCAGCCGUGGCCGUGCUUGUGGCCUCAAGGGCCAGCGCUGCUGUGCUCCUGGCCGCUUGUCCCUCUGGGAGCCAGGAAGGACGCCGUGCCGCCACUGCCAUUUCAGGCCGCGCGGAACCUCCAGGCACGCUGAUUUAUUUAAAAUUGACCUUUGUCAGUAAACUCGCCUGAGAGAAUGUGUUCUACGUUUUGGCGACGAAGCGCGUCUCGUGAUGGAGUGAGACAGGCUGCUGUUCUGCAGGCACCCACACGGGGCAGCGUGCGCUUACCGCCACCUGUCCCAGCGGGGGCCCAAGUCCUCACCUCCGCAGACAGCGCCCCCCACCACCUGUGCCCCUCUGUCCCACCCCAGCAGUUUCCAGGGGGUCAGGCACACGGAGCAAGAUGAGCGGUCUCCCACGGAGGGAAGGGCGCUUCAGGGCAGGGGGCGCGGGGUGGGGUGGCUCCCCGCGGUGCUGCAGGACCCCGGAGGGGCGGAUUGCCUCCUCCUCCGGCCACUCCCCGCUCUCCAGCCUGACGCUGGGUGUGCUCCCUGCUCGAGGACUGGGGUCCUGGAUGUCUACACCUGUGCUUAUCCAUCUGGACCGGGGACUUCCGGGAGGCCGGGACAAGCUUCUUACUGGACGCCGUGUGGGCCUGGCACAGAGGGAUAUUCAGGGAGGCAAGGGCGGGGGGGAUGGGGAAGCAGUUCUCAUAACCAAGAAAGUUCUUGGCUAGGAGCCACAGGACAGGAGGUGCGGCUCUGGCCACCCAGUCCCCAAGGCUGUGUGUGCACCCCACCCUCCAGUCCCAGAGACCCACGGGGUGGCAGGAGGGAGAGGGAGCCGGCUCCGAGGAGCGGACGCCGAGUGGGCACAGCUAAGAGCCAGACCAGGUUUAGGGACCCAGCUAACCGCCCGGCAGAGAAGACGGGCAGCAUCACAGAGCCAACAUGGACUUGGGAGCCAGCGGGCCUAGGACAGUCUCACGUGCCCAAAGUGGGGAACGGUGGCUCUUCUCCCAGUGCCUGUAGCUGAGGAUGUGGGUCACGUACUCAUUUCUCAGGUCUUUAUCGAGGCUCUUCGGGUCCUGGGGGCUGCCUGGCCACUGGGACAGAGGUGAUCGGGAUGAGGGGUCCGAGAGCCCACGGUGUCGCCCGAGGCAGGGGGUGCUCAGCCUCGGAGCGGGGAUUGGGGUGCAGGAGAGGCCUGUGGGAAAGCAGCCUGGAGAACAGAGAGGGCUUCGUGGAAGUGGCAGGCGUAGAACUGGGGCCUGGGAGGGUGUGUAGGAGUUCUCCCGCUGAAGUUGGGAGCGGUGCCCUGUGGGCAGACCAGGGGUGAAGAGGCUGUGGCAGGGCAGGAGUGACCCCCCGGUGGGGUGGCCACCCAGCAGGACAGGACCCUUGAGGCCCAGCGGGUGGGGUCAUGGGCUGCCUCCCACCCUGCCCUUCCCAGUACUGCUCUGGCAUCUGUCUGGGCUCCUUCCUCGCCCCUCCCCAUCAGGGCAGCCGGCCAGGGAGCCGCGUCCCCCGUCCCCCAGUGCUGCGGCUCUCCUUGUCCAGGGGGCAGGUGACACCCCUUCACUGUUUCAGGCCGUGACUCCUGAUGACUGAAAACCUCCGAUCCGCAGCAGGAUCUCUGGGAGACGCAGAAUCUCGGGGAGAUUUUGGAUACCCUAGGAACCUGAGUUGAGUUGACUGAGGGACCCUCAGAUGGACAAGAGGGAGCCUGGGCAGGAAGGCGAGGCCCUCGGGAAUCUGACUGUGGGACCACCUACUGAUGUAGGGCCCCUGUGUGGACGUGGCCCCCCAGAACCGGACACCAGAGCACAGAGGUCACCAGGCUGCCUGCUCGGGAGAAGCCCCACAGGUCUGAGUUUGGACAGUACAUUUCCUGGGGACACCCCGCGGAGGCCCUCUCUUCACGUGAUGCCCCCACCCCCGGUCAAGCACCCAGGCCAUCUCAUGCUACAGAGGCAAGCCUCGGCCUGGCCCGUGUGUUGAGAACCAUCGUCACGAGGUCCACCUUGAAACGUGAACCGUGGGCUCGCUGGGCUGGGCGGGCCCGGUGCAUGGUGUUGCCGUGGGGGCAUCAGCUGCUCUGGGGGCCCGAGGCCGGCACUGUUUGCAGCUGGUCCGGAAGGGUACAGUGGCUCAUAGACCCCGUCGGGGAGGCUGCAGGGGACUUUUGAGCACGUGACCCCCAAAGUCAGUGUGAGCCCCCACCAGUGAGGGGGCCCCUGUGGCCCCCAAGCCAGUGGAGGAGGUGCUGUGUGUGGUGACACUGAGGUGGCUGCGGAGGGAGGCGGAUACACUUCGAGACCUAGUUCGAGGGACCUGAUCUGUGCAGGCAGGGACUCGGCCGCCGGGAGGAGGGGAGUCCAGUCUGGAGAUGAGCAUGUGGGGGCGGCCCACUGAUCGGCCCCGGAUCAGUGCCCCCCUCACCUGGUCGUUGUGGGCUGGCACUUUCCCUUCUCCCUCCCCCUUCCCUGCCAGCCACAUCCCUGUCCCGCUUUCUGCUUUGGGCCCCGCUGCUGCAGGGCGGCAAGGGUGGGGGUCCCGGCCGGACACGGGGAGGGGGGUGACAAACAUGGCGAGACACGCAGUCUUUGGGGGAGCUCUGGCCUCCCCGGCAGGAGGCUGGUGGGGGGGCUGGUGGGUCCCUGGGGCCGCCUCCCACUCCUCUGGCAAGCCCACCACCGCACGCGCCUGCUUCCCACUCAAAUACGUCAUUUUGCCCUUUCUCUGGGGCAAUAAUUUUAAUAAACGGCUUUUUUUCUGUGAGCCCAGAGUGUGAGGCUUCCUCUUAGCUCAGGAAGAUGCCUGUUGCCAGCAGCUCUAACGAGGGCACCCGUAAAUCUCUUAUUUGUGGCUCCAAAAAUGAGGUCAUGGGCUCUCACUGUACCUCAUUAUUUAAUUAAACAGAUAUUAAGACAACAGAGUGGGGCCAGGGCUCCAGGUGAGGGGAGGUAUCAGAGGGAGGAGCCCGGGGCUGCGGGGAACGUGCUGCGGGUUCGGUUCGUUCCCCCACCCCCACCCCCACCCCACCCGCCCUGCGCCCUCGGAGGUGCCGACCCUGUGGCCUCCUGGGCUGGGCCAGCCGUGCCCUGUGCAGGACCCUCCGCUCUGGCCCACCCACAGGCUUCUGACCGCGUGGAGGAUGCUGCCCUGCAAAGAGAGCUGCCCCCAUCCCCGGCUGCCCUGCAAAGAGAAUUGCCGGCUCCCCACCCGCCACCUCCGGAAGGACGGGAGAUUCACGGCCCCGCGCCCGUUUUACUGCCGCUGAAACAAUUAAGUUAAUAAAACAGCCUUCCUGUUUCUUGACCUCCAUCAAAGACCAUCAUAAUUGUCUUCAGCCUGCCGUCUGCCAGGUAAUAAAUUGUUACGGGCUUCUCUCUCA